rnacentral:tRNA from 1 species
GGAGGUAGCGCAGUGGUCGACGCGUCGGGCUGCUAACCCGUAGGACGCCGGUUCGAAUCCGGCCCU